rnacentral:tRNA from 1 species
CCUAGGAAAACUGGAAAUCAAGUUCUCGGCGGGAAGGGAAGCCCGGCUGUUCGUGUCGGUAGGUGAACGAAGUCA